rnacentral:rRNA from 1 species
GAUGAACGCUGGCGGCGUGCCUAAUACAUGCAAGUCGAGCGAACAGACGAGGAGCUUGCUCCUCUGACGUUAGCGGCGGACGGGUGAGUAACACGUGGAUAACCUACCUAUAAGACUGGGAUAACUUCGGGAAACCGGAGCUAAUACCGGAUAAUAUAUUGAACCGCAUGGUUCAAUAGUGAAAGACGGUUUUGCUGUCCCUUAUAGAUGGAUCCGCGCCGCAUUAUCUAGUUGGUAAGGUAACGGCUUACCAAGGCAACGAUGCGUAGCCGACCUGAGAGGGUGAUCGGCCACACUGGAACGGAGACACGGACAAGACUCCUACGGGAGGCAGCAGUAGGGAAUCUUCCGCAAUGGGCGAAAGCAUGACGGAGCAACGCCGCGUGAGAGAUGAAGGUAUUCGGAUCGUAAAACUCUGUUAUUAGGGAAGAACAAAUGUGUAAGUAACUAUGCACGGAUUGACGGUACCUAAUCAGAAAGCCACGGCUAACUACGUG